rnacentral:lncRNA from 1 species
AAAAAAACAUUUGUUUUUUAUAUAUUCAAAUGAAUUUAUUGAGGCCAUUUAGAAAAAUGUGUAUGAACUGCAAGCCUUAAAAAGAGUCAGCUGCUUUUAUUAUUUUGAAGAUCCUUUAAUGAGGUAAUUUCCUGUUUAUUAUGGAGCUCCGCCCACUUGUCUGCAGUAGCUUUUGAAAUGUGAGAAGGUGGGAUAGAAGACUCAUUAAAAGGCCAGAGACACCAGCCAUUAGGUGGCUCUGCAUUCAUUACUGUUGACCAUUAACAGCAUUGUGUCAUAACGUCCUCGUCCAACCCACCAUCCUCCCCAUCUUUGCCUCUCCCAUGUUAUUUGGCUCCAUUCAAGCCUGCGUCUUCAUCUCCACCACCAACGCCUGGACUCCACGGGGUCCUGUCCUAAUCUCUAUCACUGCUGGACCUUCAGGUCAAGGUCACCAGCAUUCGGUAAAGAUUUUGGUGCUGUCUUCAUGCAGCAAGCGUGUUAAUUCCUGGAAGAGAUGAGCUGCAGUGGACCGACCAACAGCUCAGACGUCUGGCGCUUCGAGGAGGCUGCUGCCGGUCUGAUCAGCUUUGUUCCAAAACAAUCGAAACCUGAAAUGCCCUGAAAGGGAGACCGACAGGAUUAGAGAAGUUGCUGUCUGUUGUUGUCUUAACACCAGUGUUUCAGAGAUAAAACAUAAAAUUAUUCAGAGUUCGCUUUUAAUGCUGUUGUUUUCUUCUCUGCCCUGGUUUUAUACUGUAAAUCCAGGCUUAGUCUAUGAAACACCUUGAGGCUAUUUUUAAUGUUAGUAAAUCAAGGAUGUUGUCUAAAUACACUUUCAUAUAUAUAGCCUCAGACAGGAGUCACUGCAAUCAUUUGCAUCUGUAUGUAUUAUUGUAGGGUCUACCUUACAAGCACCUUGAGGCGACUUGUUGUGAUUUGGCGCUGUAUAAAUAAAAUUGAAUUGAAUUGAAUCAGGCAGUGUGAGCCAGAGCAGAAGGGGUUCAAGACCCUCACAGUGGUGCAGAAGAAAAUCUUUCAAGCAGACUAAAUAUCUCCUGCUCACCUACUUUAUAUUGAUUGGAACUUUUUUCUGAGGCCCAGUCAUGUUUGUUGGUGUUACUAUUUUUUUUUUUUUUUUUUCUUCACUGACAAAUUUGAUGUUUUAUUAAAUAAUUAAAUAUUUUUUUCCAAGAGUGAGAUGAGAACAAAAAAGCACUGGAGCUGGACACUGAUUAGUAUAACUUUCAUCUGGGUUUCGAGUGAAAUCGUGUUACAUAAUUCAUAUAUAACUCAAACCUGAGCUAUCAGUUCUUCAGAUUUCAUGUCCUGUUGAUUUUGACAGGUGGCACUGACUUAAAGUGCAUGCAUUGUGUAAAAAA